UCAAGUUAACAUGUCUUAUAUACUAGUGAAUUGGUAUUUAUUAUUUAUAGUGGUAGUUACACCACAGACUUAUUUAUCUUAGUAUAAAGAUUGUUGCUAAAAUUGUAAAAAAAAAGUAUAUUUUGUGUACUAGAAAUUGAAAUUUUGAACAUGCCUCCUGUUGAAGCAUGUAAUAAUUAUAAAAAAGAUGCUUUUAAGCUGAAAUAUCUACGAUUUACAUAGAAAUACUAAACUAUUGUCAAGAAAGCUUACUAGUAUUUUGCAGUUUCUCUAAAAAAAUUAAUAAAAUAAUGAUGAGCUUAAAUCAGGAGUUAUUCCCUAUCAAAACGUGUCUUUUUUAAAUAAUGACUUAAUCACUUCAAAUUUAAAUAAGCUCACUCACUCGUUCUCUCUGUAUAUCUAUGUAAAAAUGAAACUCAUUUUUGUGACAUUUGAUCCUGUUAUCUGAAAAUAAAUUAAGUUCAAAAAGAAGAUGUCCUGUUACAUGCAUUGUCGUCAGACGAUGAUUUUCAGUUUGGAAUCAUCGUUUUCGGAAAAUGAGAGAGAAUUUUAGGGUGUGAUAAAAAUUAUAGCAAAACCUUCAAAAAAUGACUGAAGCUUGCAUUAUCAUCCUGAAGAGAGCUCCAGCUUAAAUAUGAGAUCUCCAUCUAAUACUGUGAUUAAAAUUGUUUACUUUUUUAAGCAAUCUUGUCGAACAUGCUGUAAAUAUUGUAUUACUCGAUGAUAUAAACCUGUUUCAAAGUGAUAUUUUGUUAGAUCAGUACCCUGAUUCUAUCGACGACAGAGGUUAUCUAUUUACUCCUUAUGAACCCAUAGAAGAUGAACCCAUUCCAGAAGUAUCUCCACAAUCAAAAAUAACAUGUAUGUAUUGUUCUAAAGUAUUUGCACACAAACGAUAUUUAGUGGAUCAUUUAAAUACUCAUACAGGGAAAAAGCCGCACAUCUGUAAAUAUUGUUCUAAAGCUUUUACCCAAAGAGCAUCUAGAAAUCGGCAUGUAAAACUUUGUCACAAAGAUAUUAUAAGUCAAUUGAAUGAUAUAAACAAUUUAUUGUGAUCUAUAUUUCUGCUGUACUAUGUUUAAUAAAAUUGCUAUUGUCCAAGAA